UACGAAGGGGGCAAGCGUUGUUCGGAAUUACUGGGCGUAAAGGGCGCGUAGGCGGCUUAUCAAGUCAGGCGUGAAAUUCCCGGGCUCAACCUGGGGGCUGCGCUUGAUACUGAUUGGCUUGAAUGCGGGAGAGGAUAGUGGAAUUCCCAGUGUAGAGGUGAAAUUCGUAGAUAUUGGGAAGAACACCGGUGGCGAAGGCGGCUUGCCAGAAUGCGCUCGACGGUGAGGGAUGAAAGCUGGGGGAGCAAACCGG
rnacentral:rRNA from 1 species